rnacentral:tRNA from 2 species
ACAGUCGUGGCCGAGUGGUUAAGGCGAUAGACUAGAAAUCCAUUGGGGUCUCCCCGCACAGGUUCGAAUCCUGUCGACUGCG